GAGACAAGACUGAUGGCUGCCUACAUAUACCCAUACCUAGUGUUUGGUGAUGUUUAAGCUGAGCGGAGCAAAUUUCCGUUUGCUGUUUUCAUGGACUUUUCUGAGUCUCGAUAAUCUCCAACAAACAGAAUGGUUUCCUGACACCUAGCCGUGAGGUCCCCUAGCAGUCAGUUAGACUUAAGCCAAGCGAAGGAAAUCUCUAUGGUUAUUUUCAUGAUUCCUGUUUCUCCAUGUCUAAGCCACAAUUUUCAAUGUUCCGGAGAACUGACACUGCCCCGCAGAGUCAUUACAUCUACCCUCAAAAUACACACUAUGGAAUGCUUCUAUUUCUGAAAGAUUACGAAGGACCACACUACUCCAGACUCCUGUUCAAUAAUUUUAUUUCAUCACUUUUGCUGUAACAAUGGCUGCUGUCUACUGCCACUUCAAAGUUCCUGUUCCACGGCUCUAUUUCUAGAAACCUGCACCCACAUCAGCAGUGGUCUACAUUGAAUACUAGUUAUAGGGAAAAUUGACACUCAAGAUCUUCUUUUAUGUUAGGUAUCAAGGCGCAAGAAGAUGGAAUUAUAAUUGAUUAUUUUGAGAUGACACGUCUCAAAUAUGAAAUGAACCCCCUAACAACGACGAGAAGAAAACGAGUAAAGAAGACUGAUAAACUUUAAAUAGAAAAUAACUAAUCCUUAUAUUUUUAUUAAGUAGACAAUAACUCUAAGGAUUUUUUUUGUACAUAAUAACAGUUUGAAAAAUAAACGUUUUUAUUUUUCAAACUAACUAAACAAAUAAACGAUUUUAUGACUUUUAUUUAAAACACAAUAAAAACAGAGUCCAAAAUUCAGUGUACCCACUCCGCUCUCACGGCAACAAAAUGUAGCCUGAAGGCUACUUUUACUUAGAUAUAUCUUGAAAACCCGUAGUAACCCAGGUAAAAUAGAUCCUGCGUCACGGCUCACCAAAAUGUAACUUCCCCCACCUACUCCCCAAUCUACCCCACCUUUAAAAUUGAUACCACCCUUAAAUUCUACCCUCAUAAUUUUACCCCAACAAUAAUUUGGCCAAGUGAUCGUCUAGUUAAAGGUUAGGACCCCUCGAAGUGAACCGCGGAACCCUAGAUUCUUUAAUGAGUAACAACUAAAUCUUGGACUUUGAUUUUACCUAAUUGUUUAUUACCUAGAUGUUAAAGAUCUGAUAUUUACUGUACUAUAAUAAUAUACCUAUUAUGUUGAUGAGAAAUUAUUUAAAGGAAAUUAUGUUAAGAUUCCACCUCCUGCGAAACACCGUAAAACCAAGAUACUCAGAACCAUUUCUAUAUUAAACAUGACACCUUAUGAGUAAAAAGGAAAUAUAGGUAUAAUAAACUAAAAGUUUAUAGCAAUGUCCCGGUUAAGGGUAUAGGCUCCGCCCAAAUGCGCGAGUCGUUGGCGUCGGGUGUAGCCUUA